GACACUAUACUAUACCCUCCCCACAGGUAGACACUACACUACCCUACCCACAGGUAGACACUAUACUAUACCCUACCCACAGGUAGAUACUAUACUAUACCCUACCCACAGGUAGACACUAUACUAUACCCUACCCACAGGUAGACACUAUACUAUACCCUACCCACAGGUAGACACUAUACUAUAC